rnacentral:rRNA from 1 species
UGGGGAAUUUUGGACAAUGGGCGAAAGCCUGAUCCAGCAAUGCCGCGUGUGUGAAGAAGGCCUUCGGGUUGUAAAGCACUUUUGUCCGGAAAGAAAUCCUUGGCUCUAAUACAGUCGGGGGAUGACGGUACCGGAAGAAUAAGCACCGGCUAACUACGUGCCAGCAGCCGCGGUAAUACGUAGGGUGCAAGCGUUAAUCGGAAUUACUGGGCGUAAAGCGUGCGCAGGCGGUUUGCUAAGACCGAUGUGAAAUCCCCGGGCUCAACCUGGGAACUGCAUUGGUGACUGGCAGGCUAGAGUAUGGCAGAGGGGGGUAGAAUUCCACGUGUAGCAGUGAAAUGCGUAGAGAUGUGGAGGAAUACCGAUGGCGAAGGCAGCCCCUGGGCCAAUACUGACGCUCAUGCACGAAAGCGUGGGGAGCAAAACAGGAUUAGAUACCCUGGUAGUCCACGCCCUAAAACGAUGUCAACUAGUUGUUGGGGAUUCAUUUCCUUAGUAACGUAGCUAACGCGUGAAGUUGACCGCCUGGGGAGUACGGUCGCAAGAUUAAAACUUAAAUGAAUUGACGGGGUCAUAGCUGUUUCCU